rnacentral:rRNA from 1 species
AAUAAACGCUGGUGGCAUGCUUUAUACAUGCAAGUCGAGCGAAGACUAGAUUUGUAGUAGAAAUGAUUAAUUUUCACUUUGUGGAGAUUAUGAGUUUUUGCUAUUCCUGGUCUUAGCGGCGAACGGGUGAGUAACGCGUGAAUAAUCUGCCCUUGAAAUCGGGAUACCAUUCCGAAAGGAAUGCUAAUACCGAAUAACGUUAUGAAACGUAGGUUUUAUAACCAAAGUUGAAUCUUUGGAUUCUGCGUUCAAGGAUGAGUUCGCGUCCUAUUAGCUAGUUGGUGAGGUAAAGGCUCACCAAGGCUAUGAUGGGUAGCCGGCCUGAGAGGGCGUACGGCCACAUUGGGACUGAGACACGGCCCAGACUCCUACGGGAGGCAGCAGUAGGGAAUCUUCCGCAAUGGGCGAAAGCCUGACGGAGCGAUGCCACGUGGAUGACGGAGGCCUUCGGGUCGUAAAAUCCUGUCAGGAGGGACGAUGGUCAAUUUUCGGAUUGAUUGACGGUACCUCCAGAGGAAGCUCAGGCCAACUACGUGCCAGCAGCCGCGGUAAUACGUAGGGAGCAAGCGUUGUUCGGAUUUACUGGGCGUAAAGAGUGCGUAGGUGGCUAUACAAGUCAAGGGUGAAAUCUCUACUUUCAAGGUAGAAAGUGCCUUUGAUACUGUAUGGCUAGAGGACAAGAGGGGGAAAUGGAACUCUGGGAGUAGCGGUGAAAUGCGUAGAUAUCCAGAGGAACGCCAGUAGCGAAGGCGGUUUCCUGGCUUGUUUCUGACACUGAGGCACCAAAGCUAGGGGAGCGAUCGGGAUUAGAGACCCCGGUAGUCCUAGCCCUAAACGAUGGGUACUAGGUGUGGGGGGAGCAUUACCCUCUGUGCCGAAGCUAACGCGUUAAGUACCCCGCCUGGGGAGUACGGUCGCAAGACUG